UGGUUGAAGGUUUGUUGAUUGAAGCGUGGCGGUGGUUAUGGAGGAUUUGGAGAUUUUUGGAUGAGUUUCGGUUGCUGCAGGAUGUUGAAGGUGGCUGAAGAAUUGAGGUUGAAGGAGAUAAAGGGAGAAUGAAAUGGUUCUGUUAUCAGUGAAGCAGUUGAAGUCGACGGAAAAAAAAUGGAAUGAAAAAUUUGUAUGAUGAAACUCCAAUCUCUCCCCGCCUCUGAAGCGUGAAUGAAUAGUGAUGAGAGAGUCUAUGAUUCUGUUAGAAACUGAAUCCCAAUUCGGUUACAAGAUUCAGUUAGAGAUGAGGUUAUUGGAUGAAAGCUUUCUGACUGAUUUUUCUCCUGUUCUCUUUUUUGUUUCUUUGUGUUCUUGUGGUUCUUCCAGGAGGUUGCAG
rnacentral:lncRNA from 1 species